rnacentral:rRNA from 1 species
AAGGGCACCACAAGAACGCGUGGAGCAUGUGGCUUAAUUUGACUCAACGCGGGAAAUCUUACCGGGUCCGGAUACACUGAGGAUUGACAGACAACCAUAGACAGAAUACACAUACGAUUGUAUUCCUAACUGAAUAUGAUUAGUUGGUCUAAGGAUUUACACACAGGCACUAUCUCUCAUGAUUAUGUUGUAGGUGGUGCAUGGCCGUUGUUAGUUCGUGGAGUAAUCUGUCUGCUUAAUUGCGUUUCGUACAAAGUACUCACUCAAUCCUAGGCAUAGUUCAAUUAUAUGUGGCGGCAUCUAAAACAGUUUCGUUUGUGCGAACCUGUGUCGCUCUGAGUUAUUGUCAUUUGGAGAGUACGUGAAGGCAACGAACGUGACCGUAGUGUUUUAGUUUGGAUUUCAGACAAGUGUUAUUAACUUGACGCGGUCUGAGUUGGUUCAUGUGUACGCGCGCAACACACAGGAUGUGUCCCUAACGUCUUUUGACGUGAGUGUACUAACAUUUCCCAGUAACCAUUUCAACUAUACAUACCACUGCUUUUUUUUCUCUAACCAGGGGAAGGUUGCGGCAAUAACAGGUCUGUGAUGCCCUCAGAUGUUCCGGGCUGCACACGUGCUACAACGAUGAGCACAGUGUGUGCCUUUGUUGUGUCUCCAUGGUGGAAAUCAUUUUCAUUCAACGAUUAUCGAAAGAAGGAACGUAUGACGAGAGUUUUACGAAAGCCUUUGUUAAAUUUCUUAUUCCAGUGAACAUGACUGAUUGAAUAUCUUUUGAUCUUUGAAUGUUGUUGGUACACAUUUUGCGACAUUACUUCCCUAUUGAUCUCUGGAUUGUAGUGCGUUUGUAAUGCUGAUACUUUAAACGCCUAUCCUUUUGGUUAAGCGAUCAGAUAUCGCAUGUACCAUUGUUAAAUCCGGGUAGGGACAGACCUUUGAAAUUCUCGGUCUCGGUCUUAACCAGGAAUGCCUCGUACGAGUUGGUUAAACAUACCACUCGGAAUAUGUCCCUGCCCUUUGUACACACCGCCCGUCGCUCUUACCGAUUGUCUGUGUUGUGAGUAUUCGCGAUAGAACUACUGACUAGACUAUACGAUGUUGUUGUAGUCUAAAACGUCUACGAACAAUGUGGCUAAGAGGAAAGAGAAGUCGUAACAAGGCAUCAGUAGGUGAACCUGCUGAUGGAUCA